rnacentral:lncRNA from 1 species
UUCGCCAAAAAGAAGAGUUCGACCUCGAUCGAAUGACGACAGGUUACUAUUUCGAUAAGUUCAAAAUAACACCCUUGAAGGCUAGGGGCCUUCGCCAAAAAGAAGAGUUCGACCUCGAUCGAACGACGAUGGGUUACUAUUUCAUUAUGUUUGAAAUAACACAUUUUAAGGCCAAGGGCCUUCGCCAAAAAGAGGAGUUCGACCUCGAUCGAACGAUGACGGGUUACUAUUUCGAAAGGUUUGAAAUAACACAUUUUAAGGCCAAGGGCCUUCGCCAAAAAGAAGAGUUCUACCUCAAUCGAACGUCUACAUGUUACUAUUUCGAUAAGUUCGAAAUUACACCCUUGAAGGCCAGGGGCCUUCGCCAAAAAGAAGAGUUCGACCUCAAUCGAACGACGAAGGGUUACUAUUUCGAUAAGUUCGGAAUAACAACCUUUAAGUCUAGGGGACUUCACCAAAAAGAAGAGUUUGACUUCGAUUGAACGACGACGGUUUACUAUUUCGAUAUGAUUGAAAUAUAACCCUUUAAGGACAGGGGCCUUCGCCAAAAAGAAUAGUUCGACCUCGAUCUAAC